ACCUGGACAAAAGGAGAAAAAACAAUCAGAUCUCUAUACUUGAUAUAAUAAUCCAAAUAUUUUUCUACUUGAGAAGCGCCUAACAUCCAAUUAAAGAAAAGAUAUUAUAUUCAAGAAGUUCAAUAUCCGAGGCGACCUCGUUUAAUGGAAAAAUAACAGAUAGCGAAUGUUCCAGGAAAACAUGGUUUCUAGCGUCGGAUGUCUAGCGAGUAAAAGUUUCUUGGGAACGAAUCUUUGUCGAGGGUGAAAGGAGACUUUUCAACGGUGAAUUAUGAGCUACGAAGGAGGAAAGGAUCUCUCACGACGGUGAUGGAGAAAAAUGCUGGAGGAUUUUGCAACAGGUCUUUAUUUUUUUGUGGCGUGCCGCCGACUUUCCUCGAGGCCUUUAUUGCCAUGCUGCAACUUUCUAAAUCGUCCUCGCGACAAAACAAAACGUCGGACGAUCCGCAAUUAAUAGCCGCUCUGGCUAUCUGAAUAUGAAGCAAUUAUCUCAAUAACGUUCUGUAACGUAAGAGAUGAUGUUUCUUAGAAUGUAGAUAGUACGAAGAAACAUAAUUUCACGAAGAUCGUGAGAUCGUUAUCUGUACUGACAACUUGACAAACAACUAGAAGAAGAUGUAAGAACUUCAAACUCCUUGUGCUUAAUACGAUAGUUUCUAAGUAUGCAGAUUGGCGACACUUUAUGGAAAUUACUGGGAAUUGGGUUGAUUUCUGUUUUACACGCAUAAAAUGCAUUAGCUAGAAUUAAAUCUAACUUCUACAGAAUCAAAGUUAAUUUGAUAAUUACCAUGUUACUUUGGGUGGUUUUGAAAGAAUUCAAAAGUCGCGCUACAUUCAAAUAAUGUGAUUUAAAUUGCACAGGUAAUUCAAACGCAAUGCCGUUAAUCAUCUUUAUUACAGUCUCCUGUUUUCAUUUUGCACAUAUACAUAUACGUGUAGCCAUUUCUGUUUUAAUACAGAGGCACUAUUGGUUUCUAAUGGCAGAUCUAAUAUCACGUUGUAAUCGACGGCAUUUCCUUUGAAUUAAUUAAUUACUGAUAUAAUAUUUACCCUGUAUAGUAAGCAGAAAUAUGAUCUGUUUAGAAAUUUGAGAAUGUAGCAGAUGUGAUCUCUAUCUUGCAUAAUACCGAUAUUAGCUAUUUGGUAUUUUGAUUAAAAUACAUACACAAAAAUUAAAUAGUUUCUACGUUUUAUAAUCUUUUUAUCAGCAAAAAAUCUAUUGGAAAGCGAACAUUCAAAGAAGAUUAACUCCUUAAGAUGGAAGUUUAUGACUUAAUGAGAAGGAAGUUGCUCAUUUUCAUGUUAAAAUAUAAUUACAUUUACCUUUGCAAUCAGUGUACUUUCCAUUUCAUAAUUCAUAUAAUUGAAGUAGUUAAUGUACCGCCAUUGCGUUAAGCAGUUUGUGUUCGAUUAUCAUAUUGAAUAACAAUGAUUCUUAUUUAGGAUUCCACGCCGCUGCGGACUUAAUGAAGCUCCGCACUUAAUGGCGUGGCUUUCGCUAAAAAUUAGUGUCAGCGGUCAUUCACCUGGAUUGAAGAAAUGCUAAUGCUAUCCCGGAAGAGAUAAUUCAAUUAUAAACUAAAUAACUAAGAAACUUCGUGUACAAAACAAUCCUCGACCGCAGAAGAUUUUAAUGUACAAUCGCUCACAAAAGUCUUUCAAUUUUUACCACAGAACACUUGACUGUAAUGAGGCACGAUUGCCAUGAUUGUAUUGGCAAAAUUGGAAAUCAAUCUGAAGAUGUAUGAAAUUUCAAGGUACUUAUUGGAAAAAUAUAUUUGAUAAAAGAUUAGUGUAAUCAUUUUAAAUAUAGUAAGUGUUAAAGAUGAUCCCAAGUAUUUAGUCUUAUUAAUACAUAUAAUAAGUAAUCGCUUGUUUAAAUACUUUUAUGAUUUCUAUGAAAUAUAUACUUGCUCUAAGUAUUUUGUAGUUUCUAUGUACAUACUUAGAUUUGUUUUAAACCUGUGUUUCAUGUAAUGCAUAUAAUAUAUAUAUUUCUAAAAGGUCACCAGUCUUGCAAAUUUGCAUAAUUCUCAGUUAGAGCUAAUAUUUGAUUAAUUGAAUUAUAAGAGUCAUUUCAAUGAUUAUCUGACGCAAUACGGCAUUCCAGUCAUCUCCUCAUGAAUUUCCACAGAUUUAAUUAUCUUCAUAAGAUUUGAAUCCUCCUGUUUUAAUACUAAGCAGCAGAAUAAUUAUAUGUGAAAGUUACGAACUGCACUAAUUAGAGUUUUGAGAUGAAGAAACGAGUUGUGACCGAUGUAUGAAUCAUUUUAUCAAUUGCGGCUUACGAUUAAACGACCCUACGCUUUCGUUGAGGAUUCUCCGGAAGCAAGAUGUUAAACGGGCUCGACAUACCGGAUGAGACUUUCGACAGAAUGUUUUUUUAUCUAUCGCGCAAGAAUUUUAUUGUUAUCCUGUCACGAAGAGAUUAAGAAAUUCUACGAAUUAAUUCUACGAAUCUACUAAUUAUGAGGAUGUUCAUAGAAAUCCAUAUCUUUAUAAACACAAUAAAAAGAAUGAAACCUUA